AGACAAUAUUUAUGUAGUUUUCUAUUUCUGUGUCAAAGACCACGACCAAAAGCAACUUGGAGAGGGAAGAUUCCAGCUUACACUUCCAGACAGAGCACAGAAUGAACAGAAGAUGAUCUAAGGAUCAUAGCAGGACUUCAGACUCUUCACAUGGGAAACUCAUUACAUCUCACCUCUGUAGGAGGCCAAGCAGAGAAGUCAAACAGAGAUCACAAGAAUUUUAACUGGGGAAAACCAUAAAAGAAAGUGACUUCUGUUAUCAUCAGCAAAGCCCUUUCACUUUUCUUACUCAGUAAUAAACAUUUCAAACUAGA